UAGCCGUAAACGAUACUCGCUAGGUGUCGGCCACGGUGCGACCGUUGUCGGUGCCGUAGGGAAGCCGUGAAGCGAGCCACCUGGGAAGUACGGCCGCAAGGCUGAAACUUAAAGGAAUUGGCGGGGGAGCACAACAACGGGUGGAGCUUGCGGUUUAAUUGGAUUCAACGCCGGAAAUCUUACCGGGACCGACAGCAACAUGAAGGCCAAGCUGAAGACUUUGCCGGAUUAGCUGAGAGGAGGUGCAUGGCAUAGUCGUGU
rnacentral:rRNA from 1 species